rnacentral:lncRNA from 1 species
CUAAGGAAUUCUGUUGACCGAGGGGAAGGUGUUAGGAACCCCUCGAUCCCGUGGUUCGACCACGGUCGCUUGGUGGAGUGUAUCGACUAAUUUGACAUUACAAAUGUAUAAACCACACAAAAACACAUAAAACAAUCAAUCAAACACACAAAACAAAAUAAAUCCAAAAUUUAGUGUUCAGUCCAAUUUUACAGCCCAAAAUAAAUAAAAAUGCAAAAAUAAAUCCUAUCUAACCUACACUAAUCCUAACUACUCUCUUGUGCUUUACCCGAUGCCUCGGGCCUUGAUCACGAACCUUCUUUGCUUACAUGAUCCAUCGGGGCAUUCCCUGAUGAAUAAAUACAAUGUGUCUCGGGGCAUUCCCCGACUAAAUGAAUACAUUUGAAUUAAAUACGAUAAACUAGAAAGAAACAUUCACACGCAUAUUCCAUAUUCAACGAAACACCCAAGUUCUAAAUUUGCUUACCCAACCUACGUUUGCCUAUCAAUUGUCGGCCUAAACAUGAAACUAUCUUAAUUAACAAUAUCGAUGAAUCAAAACAACAAUAUUCACUUUAUCAACUUUUAAUCUCAAUCCCACCCCAAAUUCAUUUACAACCAUACGAUUAACUGAUUUUAAUAGAGAACCAACCGAUCAAGUCACGACAAUUAUAGAAGCUCAAACACAUAAUCUGAAUCAUAUCAUCAAACUCAUACAAUUCACGUAAUUAACAUCAACACACCACAUUAAAAUAAAAACAAAAGAAGAACAGAGUUGAAGAAAUGGACCUCAAAUGAUAUUUUGCAAUUAUAAUGAUAUCAACAUCAACAAUAGACGAAAGGAGCGACUUCAAACACGGAACCUCGAACGAAAACCAAAUUCGUGUAUAGAAAUCCAACCUCAAGAGAUUUAGAUGAAUCCAAAACCCGAACUCUCGGACGAUAAAAACCUCAACAACGUCUGAACCAACUCGAAAUUGAGCACCCACAACCCGAACGGAUCAGAAUUCCAAACCAGUAAGAAAUAGUAGAAUAUCCGGAACAAGAAUUUCAAUGGAAACCUAAAACCGAUCAUAAAACUCUAGAAAUCCGAACCAAAAAAGAAAUCGUUGAGAAUAGAGAAUCAUCAAAACCCGAAUCAAAACUGAUUUUUCCCUUUUUAGGAGUAGCCGAAUUCGGUUGUGGUUUUCACCAGAAUUAUGGAGGAUGUGGUUGUUUUCCAAUGGGUCAUUUUUGGAGAGAGACGGUGGAUUCUGAUGAACCAUUCACCUAAAAAAUCGAACCAAUCAACUGAGGUAUCUCCAUUCUGCGUUUUCACACUUCUCACUCGAUUUCAGCUCACUCCCUCUCUUUGUUGUAUCUUUCUCUCCGCUCCUCACCGUUUUCGAUCUCUGGUCACCCUCGAUCUCUGUCCCUCACAUUAUUCUGCUACCAGCUAUCUCUCUAUUUCUCUUCUCUACCUCACGAUCUCCCUCUCAAUCUCUUUAUUGUGUGUAUUUCCGGUGGUUGUGCAUGAAUGCGUGUAUUCUAAGGGAAGAUAAAUAAGGGAUGAAUAUGGUGAAUCCCCCUUCUUUGAUCUGUAUAUGUGUGUAUAUAUCCCUGAAGUAGAAAAGAAGAGCCCCCUCUUUUUCUUUUUAAUUCAAGACCCCCCAAAAAUUAAAAAUCCCCCCACUUUAUUUCUGUAUGUAAUCGUGUAUGUAUACGUAAGGUUGAGUGAAUUUGUUUUGCUGUGGGGCCAUGUAUGUGAGGUGUUCUGAGGGAAAUUUCCUAGAAAAUUCUUUCUAGUUAUAUGUCUUUGUGGACAAGAAAAAGAGAGGGGGAGGUGUUUUUUUUUAAUUGGAGGGGUAAGGGUUAGGUGUCUUAUUUUAAUUGAAAGGGUUGUUAGGAUGUUAAAAAGAAUAAAAGUUUGUUAGGGAUUUUGUUGAGAGUUGUUUUUUUUGUAUCUUUUGUGGGAUGUAAUUACAUGGGUGAGGGUAUACGGUAGGAUAAGGUAAAAAUGGAUAAAAAGUCAAUUUUGGGAGGACAAAAUUAGGUGUCUACAACAUGCCCCCUUUGAAUGUAAACACGAAGUGUUUUCAGACAAAGAAGUAGACAACGACACAAAAUUUUAUCCCGACCAUUAUUCAAAGAGAAUGAAACAAAAGUGAGUAGGGAAACCGAGUCUACACUUAGGACAUCCUACCUACCCAAGUUACGAAGGAAUCAAUUGACACAUAUCUCCAAGGAUUGGAAGAAGAUGGACAAUAUCGAGUUGGAGAGUCGAGUGAGGUCCUGUCGAGGUUUCGGUUCCCGGCUCUGUUAUUACAUCAAAAAUGAAAAUUACAAGUUAAUGUCACACCCCUUUUUUUCUUAAAACUCAAAAAAAGAUAUCAUUUUAUGUUUGAAAGGGUUUUAUUAUUAAGGUGACAAAAAUGAAAAAUUUGUUUGGAAGAAGGAUUGUUUUUACAUUUGAAAUCAGAGUCGCCACUUGGCAUAAUAUGGUGUGCCAAGUCACCAUUGGAAAAUCCUUUCUAAAACCAUUUGACUCUUUAAACUGGUUUGCGAAUAGAGAUUCCAGCUAAGAAAUUCUGUUGACCAAGGGGAAGGUGUUAGGCACCCCUCAAUCCUGUGGUUCGACCACGGUCGCUUGGUGGAACAUAUCGGCUAAUUCGACACUAAGAGUGUAUAAACCACAAAAAAACAUACAAACCAAUCAAUCAAACAAACAAACAAAAAAUCCAAAAUUAUAGUGUUCAAUCCAAUUAUUACAAUCCAAAAAUAGAAAAAUGCAAAAAAUAUAAAUCCUAUUCUAAGUUAGUCCUAGACUAAGCUCCAAUGCUUCACCCGAUGCCUCGGGCCUUCGUAUCGAUCAUCUUCCGCCAACGUAGUACGUCGGGACAUUUCCCAGUGAAUAAAUACAAAUACCGCGGGGCAUUCCCCGGCCAAAUGAAUACACUUUUCAAAUGCGGGCAAAUAAGACAUUCAACAAAUAUUUCAAACAUUCUAAUAAUCCCCCCAUUCUAAAUUUGCCUACCCGACCUAAUGUUUGUCUGCCCGCUCGACGACAUAUCAUAUUCAACAUCAACCAUAAAUCAAAAUACCAUAAUAUUCACUUUUUACUAAUUUUCGAUCCCCGUCCCGAUUCAUUCUCAACCAAUGAUUAACACAGCAUCCAACACUUUUCAAAUCACUUUUCAAAAUCCGAAACCAACAUCCAACACAUACACCCAACGAAGAUUCAAACUAAGCACACGAGUCAUCCACAACAACAAUUAAUAUUUUUGCUCAAAGUAUUCAAAACCACACCAUAAAAUCACAACAUUAACCAAAUUUGAGAAAAUGAAAGAGCGAAGUUAAGAUAUAAAACUUCAAAGAAUCAAUUUCGUAGAUAAUAUAGAAUUAAAGGAACCCGAAUCCGAGACCCCGAAUAGGAAAACCUCAACAACUAUGAAAUCCAAGUACGGUUUUGAAGAACCGAGACACGAAAUGGAAUUCAACAAAUGGGUUAUGACAAACCAAAGCCUAAAUCCCCAAGACAACAACGACUACCAAUGAACCCGAGACAGAAAUUGCAACAGCACAAACCCGAAUCAAAUUGCGAAGCAAUGAGAAAACCGUACCAGAAUUCGCAUACCAGUCACAGUUUCAACCAUUUUCUGACGAACUUCACCGGAAUCAGACUGAAAUGGAUCAAACUUGGUCGAUUUUAUCUGAUUAUGGGGUAGAGCCGAUGCUGUUUUGGUCAGAAAUUAGGGCUAGUGAUGUUUUUCGAUAGCUUUGACCAGAUUUGUAAUGGCUUUGGCGUAUUUCUGGAGAGAUUGUCAUCGGAACAGUAAUCGCCACUCUCUUCUCCCUCAAUUUCAAUCACGGAUCUCUCUCUCUCGCCGUCUCUCACUGUAUGGCUAUGUGUAUCAUGUGCAUGUAUGAGUGUUUCUUCUCCGGUGAGGUGUGUUAAUGGACUUCUCAUGAGUGAAUUGUGGGUGUAUAUAUGGUAUAUGCAGAUAGUGAGUGGAAUUGUGAGAGUGGGUGAGGCAGUGGGUACACGUGGGUAGGGGUAAGAGGUAGGGUGUGGGGUGGUGAUGUGUUGUCCAAAAUUGAUAGGAGGAGUGGUUAAUUUUUUUACCAAAGAAUAAUUGAGGAUUAAGUUUGUUAGUGGGUUUGUUAUUAUUUUUUUUUGUAUUUUUGUGGGGUGUAAUUAACAUGGGUAAGGGUGUAUGAUAAAGUGAGGUAAAAAUAAUAUCGGGGAGGGACAAAAUUAGGUGUCUACAUCAUGCCCCCUUUGAAUGUAAACACAAAGUAUUUUCAAAUAAAAAAGUAGACAAUGAGACAAAAUUUUGUCCCGACCACUUUUCAAAGGAAGAAAAAGAAUGAAGAAGGACAAUCGAGUCUUAACUUAGGAAAUCCUACCCAGCCAAGUUAUGAGGAAGUCACAAGUAUCUCAAAGGGUUGGAAAAGAGGAAUUAUACCGAGUUGGAGAGUCGUGUGAGGCCCUAUCGAGGUUCCGGUCCGCGGCUCUGUCAUUACAUAAAAAAUGAAAAAUUACAAGAGUUAAAAAGAUAAAUAAAAUUACAAAAGUCCUAUCUAUGCAGCUUCUUUUGAACUCUUGACUUGAGUUUCAUCACCCUAUUCUUCAUGCGGGCUCCUGAAUUGUAAUUUCUUCAACAUGUUGCUUGCCUUUCAAUUUCCACACCCUGUUCUCCAAGCGGUUUCCUGACUUGCUAUUUCAUCAACUUGUUCCUAUGCUUUUCAAUUUCUACAUUCUAUUUUCCAAGCGGGUUCCUGACUUGCUAUUUUAUCAACUUGUUGCUAUGCUUUCAAUUUCUUCACCCUGUUCUGUAGGCGGGCUGCUGACUUGCUAUUUCAUUAACUUGUUGCUAUGCUUUCAAUUGCUUCACCCUGUUUUGUAGGUGGGCUCCUGACUUGCUAUUUCAUCAACUUGUUCUAUGCUUUCAAUUUUUUCCACCCUAUUAUGUAGGCGGGCUCCUGACUUGCUAUUUUUCAAUCUGUUUAACUUUCAAUUUCUUCACCUUGGUGCUUGGUUUUCCAUUUAUUCGCCCUGUACUUCGGGCAUGCUCCUGAAAUCACAUCAAAACUGAAAAAAAAAUUAUCCCAAAUAAAGAAAUGCAUUUUCUAUGAGUUAAUUGGAAUGACUCGACUAAAAGGUACGUCUUUUAGGAAUCAAGGGGCUGACUCGACUACAAGGUACGUCUUAUAGGAAUCUAGGGGGAUGACUCAACUAAAAGGUACGUCUUAUAGGAAUCAAAGGGAAUGACUCGAAUAAAAGGUACGUCUUCUAGGAAUCAAGGGAAAUGAAUCGACUAAAAUGUACGUCUUCUAGGGGUCAAAGGGGAUGACUCGACUAAAAGAUACAUCUUAUAGGAGUCAAAGGGAAUGACUCGACUAAAAGGUACAUCUUAUAGGAAUCAAAGGGGAUGACCCGACUAAAAGGUACGUCUUAUAGGAAUCAAAGAGGAUGACUCGACUAAAGGGUACGUAUUAUAGGAAUCAAAGGUGAUGAAUCGACUAAAAGGCACGUCUUAUAGAAAUCAAUAGGAAUGAUUCGAAUAAAAGGUAUAUCUUAUAGGAAUCAAAGGGAAUCACUCGACUAAAAGGUACAUCUUAUAGGAAUCAAUAGGAAUGACUCGACUAAAAGGUUCGUCUUAUAGGAAUCAAAGGGGAUGACUUGACUAAAAGGUAUGUCAUAUAGGAAUCAAAGGGGAUGACUCGACUAAAAGGUAUGUCUUAUAGGAAUCAAAGGGGAUGACUGGACUAAAAGAUACGUCUUAUAGGAAUCAAAGAGGAUGACUUGACUAAAGGGUACGUCUUAUAGGAAUCAAAGGGGAUGAAUCGACUAAAAGGCACGUCUUACAGGAAUCAAUAGAAAUGACUCAACUAAAAGGUACAUCUUAUAGGAAUUAAAGGGAAUGACUCGACUAAAAGGUACAUCUUAUAGGAAUCAAUAGGAAUGACUCGACUAAAAAGUUCAUCUUAUAGGAGUCAAAGGGGAUGACUCGACUAAAAGGUAUGUCAUAUAGGAUUCAAAGGGGAUGACUCGACUAAAAGGUACGUCUUUUAGGAAUCAAGACUUAAGUUAGGAAGUGCAUUACCUAAGAAGCAAAAUUUGAAUUACCCAAUCAAGGAAGUGUGUUUCCUUAUCAAUGUUGUUUGAAUUAUUAAAUCAAGGGAGUGCGUCUCUUAGAGAUCUUGAAUUAUGAGUUUUACCAUGGUUUUGAUUACCAAACUUGUGCAACAACCUUGCUUCUUGUAUUUGUUAAGGUGAAAAAUUACGGCCUUUAAUGUUUAGGCUCUAAAAUCCUUGAUCUGAAUGCAACAUGUAUUCCUAUUACAUACAAAAAAAACUCGUGAGUUUAAAAACAUGGUGGCUAGUUUGUGGCUUUGGAUUUUGAGACAAUUGCUCCUGCCCCCGUCACAUUUAGCUUUGCUUCCAACCAUUAGCAUAUGUCAUUGACUUACUGUAUCAUUGACUCAAACUCAGCUUAUUAAGAGUGACUCUGAAACAAAUGCAGUAUUUUUGCUUUGUCGUGUUUCUUAAAUAAACCCUUUGAAUCUUGGUAUUUCUAUGAGUUCCCCGACUUCUUUGUUGACAAAACUUCCUGCAUGCCUUUUUUUGGGCUCACAAUCAUGUCUCUUUCAUGUGCUAGCUUUUGUCUUGCUUUGUGCAAUUAAAGAAGCUGGUAGCCAGUUUUGAAAUCUUUUCUCACUUGUUUUGACAUGGACAUGACUCAAAGACAAGAAACGAAAAAAGAAUGACAAUUUUUGUUUUGAUAACUGACUCAAAAAAGAUAAAAUUAAAAUAAAGAGAAGAAAGAAAAGACAAUGAAUGUCCCCUUUAAAAACAAAGAAAUGAAAAAUUCAUCUAAAAAUGACAGUCAACACUAAUGAUUGUGCCAUGCAUUUUGGAUUAAGUAGCUUGCUCUUUUCAUUCAAACUUUUUACCCAUUGUUUUUGAGUUAAUGUCCUUGAAACUGAGUUGUUUUCUUAGGUCAAUUGCGUUUAAUACCCCAUUCGGCUAGUGGCGCCUUGAAGGAUUUUCGCCAACAAGCUUCUUUUAUUUUCUCUCGUCUCACUAUCGCCUUAUGGUGCCCGUGAGGAUUUUCACCAAUAAGACUCUCUCAUUUUUAUUUCUCUCAAUUUACCAUCGCCUUAUGGUGCCCGUAAGGGUUUUCACCAAUAAGACUCUCUUAUUUUUAUUUCUCUCUUAAUUCCCUAUGCUGAGGAAGUUAAAUAGUUCCCAAAUGCAUCAUCAUAUCCCUUGCAUGCUCAUCCUUAAUAUCCUCAAAGAUUGAUUUGAAGGUCUUUCUUUGGUUGUAACUCGGUUUUUGGAUAAGGUUAGAAAGAAAAGAUGACAUGGGGCCCAAACGACACUUGAAAUGGGGUAGGACUUACAACUUUUAGAAUCGACUCAAACAAUGAGGAUUAACUCAUGACCCAAUUUCUUUUGACUGGGUGACUCUAAAUUGUUUAUUUGGUUGGACCGAGCCCUGAGUAGGGCAUCCUACGUAUCUCAUCCCCGAGAGAGAAGAAUCAGGUCAUGCGUAGUUCUGGAAGCUUGUUCUUUUGCUUGAUUCUGAUUCUUUUUCUUUUCUUUUAUUGACUCUUUUCUUUUGGGGAUUUUUCCGACUCUAUUUUUCUUGACACACUUUUUUUCUCUUUUUUUUGGACACAUUUUUUCUCUUCUUUUUUUUUUUUUGAACUUUUAUGACUAUUGUUUUGCUCGACACUUUUCUUUCGAGCUUUGCUGACUAUAUUGAUUCCAAAAAUAGUGUAUGAAAUAAAAUAAGACUAAAGCUUAACUGGGGUAAACAAAGGAUGACACGAUGUUUGACUAGUAGAAUAAAAUGCCUUCGUCAUAUCAAUCUUUAAAAAAUGCAAGUACGUAUCAUGAAAUAUGAAAGUGAAAGAUGAAGAUCUUUUGACAUCUUUUACAGCAUUAACUUUGACUGAGUCUGUGCAUCACUAUUUCUUCUGCGUUUAUAUGGCAUACAACUCUACUUUUGUUGCACAUUCCUCACAUUGAAAGACUCAUGAUUUUGUGGUGCUGAUUUUCUCUUUGUUUAUGCGGCCACUAUUUGAUCUAAUUGAGACAUGUCUUUCAAUUGAUGACCAAGUUAUUCUUGUGAUUCUCAAAAUAAGUGCCUUAAUUUUCAGGAAAGGCUUCAACUUGUCACUAAAUGCCCCAAGACUCUAUCUAUUUUCUCAGAUACUUUAUUUUUCUAAUUUUAACUCUCUGAUCCAAUGCUUCCUGAUCAAGUGGAUUUUAAGAUCUGGCUGAAAAUUUCGCUAGCAUGUCAUAUCACGAAGAAUCAACCUAAAAUGUACUAUGUAAAGAAAACAAACAAACAACACAAAUUUAAAAAAUAAAGGAAAAAGGGACACUCCAUUUAAUAAAAAUAAAAGAUAGGGUUUGAACAUAAACGACAAAGGGACAAAACAAGAUAGAUCCCAAACUACAACCCUGAAAUAAUUCGGAAAACAAAAAAAGAAGACAAAAUAAACUACCAAACCUCUUCUUAGUAGGGAGAUGGGUAAAUUCUCAAUUGCUCAGCCUGACAACUUAGCCGCUGGUUUGCAUAUCAGCAUGACUAGAGCUUCCCUCACUAUCAAUGUUCUGCACCAUAAUUGAUCCAUCAUGAAUCAUCUUUUUAAUUUCUCUUUUCAAAUCUCAACAAUCUUCAAUACUAUGACCCUAAGCCUCAGAAUGAUACGCACAUCGUGCGUUAGGAUCAAAAUUUCUUGAACACCGAUUAAGGAUAUGCCCAAGGAGAGGAGUGAUCAUUCCCUCCUGUACCAAUCUCUCAAAUAAAUUGGCAUAUGACUCUCCAAUUGGUGUGAAGCUAUCUCUCGACAUCUGCCUCAUUUCAUUGUGUGGCUUGGAUAGAAAAUCUGGCUUAGAAGGGUUUUGGUAUGUCUGUGGAGUUAGAGGAUGACUCUGGGGAGUUGGGGUAUGCCAUUGUAGUUAAGAUGAGGGUUGAACAUAUGGUUGUACAUUAUACACUAGAUAUAGAUGUGGAGGAAUAGAGUAUAAUGGAUUUUGGGAGUGAUUAUGUGGAGCCUGGGCAUAAACUUGAGCUUGAGCCUGAUAUCGACGACGAUGUGGUUUUCUUGACCUUUCUUGCUGUCCAACUAUAAUUGCAGAUGCAUCUUCCUCAUUCUUUUUCUCCCCAACACUUCCUGAACCCUUUUGAAUUACUUGAGUAGUCACUUUCAAUGUUGCAAAACUCACAAUACGACCAGUCUUAAUUCCCUCUUCUAUCAUCUCCCCCAUUUUAAGGACCUCAAUGAACAGCUUACCUAAUGCAGGUAACAAGUGUUGAUAAUAUGUUUCGUCCUGCGCUUGAAUAAACACCUCCACUAUUUUUCUUUCUUUCAUUGUCGGUUUUACUCUAGUGGCUUGUUCGCGCCAUCUGAUCGCAUACUCCCUGAAACUCUCAGUAUUCUUCUUUGUUAUACUAGUUAGGGAUUUUUUGUCAGGGAUCAACUCUACAUUGUAUUGAAAUUGUUGCAUAAAUUUGUUAGCUAGGUCAUCCCAACUAAUCCAUUUGUCAAUGUCUUGGUCAACAAACCAUUCUGAAGCAAGACCUGAAAGACUCUCACUGAAAUAUGCCAUGAGUAAUUCUUCCUUCCCUCCAGCGCCCCUUAACUGGUUGCAAUAGCGUCUCAAAUGUGCUACAGGAUCGCCAUGUCCAUCAUACUUUUCAAACUUUGUCAUUUUAAAAUCAAGAGGAAGAUGUACACCAGGAAACAUGCACAGAUCUUUCUAUGAGACACUUUUGUACCCCAAAGUCUUUGCAAGUUUUUGAUAAUCAGUUCCAAACUUCUCAAUUUUCUGGCUAUUUCCUCUUGUUCUUCUGUCAUAAUAGUCUUCUCAGUGUUAGGAGGAAAUUCAGGCAGUUGAGGGCAAACGUAAGGAUCAGUCGACUUAAAUGUAGGCUCGAGAGCAUAAUGCUGAUCACUAAAAAUAUUCAAUUCAGGCUCUCUUGUAGAGUAGGGAGGCACAACUUGUGGAUUAGUGACAACUAACUCGGUAUCCUUGUUGGCCAUAACUUUCUCUGUGACUUGGAGCAAUAUGGAGGACCAGCCAAAAUGCCACAAACCAACCAUCUUAAACUAACUGGACAAGAGAUAGCAAAUAGUUAGAGUUCAACAGUAUUUUUUUAAAACCUCUUUUUUUUUUUGAAAAGAUCACCGAACCCAAGAAGGGCACCUACCUAUCUCACCCCCGAAAGGGGAGAAUCAGGUGUGCUUAGUUCGUGAAGUUUUGCCAAAAAUAGCCAAUUAAACUCUUUUUUCUUUCUUGAAACAAAGUGUCAAAAGAAUUAAAGAAAAUCUUUUUUUUUUUAGGUUUAAAUCUCUAUACAAAAUGAAACCUGUGAUUACCAAAGAAAAAUCUUUUUUGGGUUUCGAUUUUUGAAUUUCAUGUGAAAAUGAAACUUGAACCUAUUAAAGGAAAAAUCUUUUUGUAGUUUUCGUUUAAAGGUGUAUAUGAAACGCCCACUCUAAAUGGAGAGUGAAGAAAUAUUUUUAGAUUUUUUAAAUAAGAUCCCCGAACUAACAAUAGGUUGCCUACGUAUCUCACUCUCGAAAGAGGAGAAUCAGGGGUGCGUAAUUGGUCCAGAUUGGACAAUUAAUGAUUAAAUAACGAAUUGCACCCUGACUUGAGACACGACCAAAGACAUGCGAUAAACAACAUAACAAAAUAUAUUUUUUUUUUUGAGUUUUCAAUUUGACACUUUACAUUAAAAAAUGACAUCAACAGCUAUGAAAGAAAAUCUUUUGGUAUUGUCGUUAUGUAAGAUGUACAAAACUUCUACCACCUUUUUUGAAUUUUUCUUUUAUAAAAAAAAAAUCCUAAAUUUUUUUUGUUUUGAGUUUACGAAUUGUGAAUGCUUGUUAAAUGAAACAAAAGGAAAAUCUUUUUGAUGUUUAAUUUUUUUCUUUAUUAUUAUUAUUAUUAUUAUUAUUAUUAUUAUUAUUAUUUUUGAAAAAUGAGUGCAAAAAGUUAAAAAAAAGUCUUGCUUUUUUUUUUUUUCUUAAAUUUUUGAAUCGUGGAAAACAAAAGCCAUAAAGAACCUAAAACUACGAAACUCUUUUUUGAUUCACCUUUUCUCUUUUUUUUUAAACACUUUCUUGUCUACACACUUUACUUCUAACACAUGUUUUCCCCAAAUCGGUCCAUCAAAUGACCACAUUACUCUCAAAGAUGCAACAUUUAGCACGUAGGGAUCUUUUAAAGGUGAGUCUCCUACAAAGGACCGUGUGGGCCCUGCUAGGUCUUAAUAUGAUGCACAUAAGAAUGAACUAAAGGCUGACCUACGUUGUGGUUUACUAACAAGGCCGUUUGGGGGAGCAUAUGGUCGAUAGUGGCUGCUUUGCUUUCCACCUACUCCAUACCUCCAACGGCUCCCCCCUAAAAUAAAGGUGACUCAACUAGAGUUCGUGCACACAACGUGUGCUCCGAGACUUGUUGCGGAAAGAAUGACUCGAGUGAUGCACAUGAUGUCAGAUAUAAAAGCGGUAACACAUAGCAUAAAUACUGUAAACAAAGAGCACGAAAAUAAAUAAAAGUAAAAACACAAACAAAAUCACAAACAAUGCUUAUACACUCGUAAUGCCAAACAAAGCUGAUACGACUCCAAAAAAAGCUCAGAUUCUGAAAUUUGUCUUCCCCAGCAGAGUCGCUAGAGCUGUCACACCCCUUUUUUUCUUAAAACUCAAAAAAAGAUAUCAUUUUAUGUUUGAAAGGGUUUUAUUACUAAGGUGACAAAAAUGAAAUAUUUGUUUCGAAGAAGGAUUGUUUUUACAUCUGAAAUCAGAGUUGCCACUUGGCAUAAUCUGGUGUGCCAAGUCACCAUUGGAAAAUCCUUUGCAAAACCAUUUGACUCUUUAAACUGGUUUGCGAAUAGAGAUUCCAUCUAAGGAAUUCUGUUGACCGAGGGGAAGGUGUUAGGCACCCCUCGAUCCCAUGGUUCAGCCACGGUCACUUGGUGGAACAUAUCGGCUAAUUCGACACUAAGAGUGUAUAAACCACACAAAAACAUACAAACCAAUCAAUCAAUCAAACAAACAAACAAAUCCAAAAUUAUAGUGUUCAGUCCAAUUAUUACAAUCCAAAAAUAAAAAAAUGCAAAAAAUAUAAAUCCUAUUCUAAGCUAGUCCUAGACUAAGCUCCAAUGCUUCACCCGAUGCCUCGGGCCUUCGUAUCGAUCAUCUUCCACCAACAUAUUACGUCGGGACAUUUCCUGGUGAAUAAAUACAAAUACCUCGGGGCAUUCCCCGACCAAAUGAAUACACUUUUCAAAUGCGGCAAACAAGACAUUCAACAAAUAUUUCAAACAUUUCAAUAAUCCCCCCAUUCUAAAUUUCCCUACCCGGC